rnacentral:rRNA from 1 species
UACGUAGGGGGCAAGCGUUGUCCGGAUUUAUUGGGCGUAAAGAGCGUGUGGGCGGCCAGGUAGGUGGGUUGUGAAAACUGGAGGCUCAACCUUCAGACGUCGACCCAAACCCCCUGGCUAGAGUCCGGAAGAGGAGAGUGGAAUUCCUGGUGUAGCGGUGAAAUGCGCAGAUAUCAGGAGGAACACCAAUAGCGAAGGCAGCUCGCUGGGACGGUACUGACGCUAAGGCGCGAAAGCGUGGGGAGCGAACAGG